GGUUAUUGCUCAGUGGUGAGCGCUCGCCUGGCAUGUGCGAGACCCUGGGUUCAAUCCUCAGCACCA
rnacentral:tRNA from 1 species